AGGGCACCACCAGGAGUGGAGCCUGCGGCUUAAUUUGACUCAACACGGGAAAACUCACCCGGCCCGGACACUGGAAGGAUUGACAGAUUGAGAGCUCUUUCUUGAUUCAGUGGGUGGUGGUGCAUGGCCGUUCUUAGUUGGUGGAGUGAUUUGUCUGGUUAAUUCCGAUAACGAACGAGACUCUAGCCUACUAAAUAGCCUGCCUGGCUUACAAACGCCGGCAAGACUUCUUAGAGGGACAGGCGGUGAUUCAACCGCACGAAACAGAGCAAUAACAGGUCUGUGAUGCCCUUAGAUGUCCGGGGCCGCACGCGCGCUACACUGAAGUGAUCAGCGUGCCUAUUCAGCCUACUCUGUCAAGAGUGGGAAACCCAAUGAACCUUCUACGUGAUUGGGAUAGGGGAUUGUAAUUAUUCCCCUUGAACGAGGAAUUCCCAGUAAGCGCGAGUCAUAAGCUCGCGUUGAUUACGUCCCUGCCCUUUGUACACACCGCCCGUCGCUACUACCGAUUGAAUGUUU
rnacentral:rRNA from 1 species